GAUGAAGAACGCAGCGAACGUGCGAAACGUAAUGUGAAUUGCAGAAUUCAGUGAAUCAUCGAAUCUUUGAACGCAUCUUGCGCUCCUUGGUAUUCCGAGGAGCAUGCCUGUUUGAGUGUCGUGAAAUACUCUCAAUUUCAAUCUUUUUGUUUGAAAUUGGAUUUGGAUGUUGUUGUGGAUCUUGCUACGACUCAUCCUAAAUGCAUUAGCGAUCUGCCUUGAUCACACACAAUGUGAUAAGAUGAGCAUUGUUAUAAUCAAGUCAUGACUGCUUCUAACCGUCCCUUUGGGACAAACGUCUUAUGUCGUUUGAACUCAAAUCAGGUAGGACUACCCGCUGAACUUAAGCAUAUCAAUAAGCGGAGGA
rnacentral:misc_RNA from 1 species